CGCAUCUGUGCAUGCAGCAUAUCAAUAAGCGGAGGAAAAGAAACUAACAAGGAUUCCCUUAGUAACGGCGAGUGAAGCGGGAAGAGCUCAAAUUUGAAAUCUUCAAGGUUUUACCUUGACGAAUUGUAGUUUAAAGAAGUGUUUUCUGUUGAAGUUUUGGUAAAAGUUCUUUGGAAUAGGACAUCAUAGAGGGUGAGAAUCCCGUAUUUGACCAUUAUUUUCAGCUGUGUGAUACACUUUCAAAGAGUCGGAUUGUUUGGGAAUGCAGUCCAAAAUGGGUGGUAAAUUUCAUCUAAAGCUAAAUAUUGGCGAGAGACCGAUAGCGAACAAGUACCGUGAGGGAAAGAUGAAAAGAACUUUGAGAAAGAGAGUUAAACAGUACGUGAAAUUGUCAAAAGGGAAGCGUUUGACACCAGUGUUGUUUUCUCGAAAAUCAAUUAAAAAGAGUUAGAUUUUGUUGUGUAUUGACCUUAACAGCUUGCAUUUCAAUUUUCUUGCUUUUUUUAAUGCACUUUUCGUAUAACAAGUCAACAUCAGUUUCUUUUGUUGUAAAAAGGUCAUUGGAAGGUGGCUUUCUUUUCGGAGAAAGUGUUUAUAGCCUUUGACUCCUGCAAUCGGAGAGACUGAGGUCUGCAGCGUAGAUCCUUCGGGGUUAGAUACAUUUGUGCUAAGUUAUAGCUCUUUAUAGACAACUUGUUGACUAUGAUUAGUCUUGUAGCUUACUCGCUUAUGCUAUUUUACCUACGCUUAGGAUGUUGAUGUGAUACUGCGAGCA
rnacentral:rRNA from 1 species